rnacentral:rRNA from 1 species
AACGUAGGUUCCGAGCGUUAUCCGGAUUUACUGGGCGUAAAGCGCGUUCUGGCGGUUUGGCUAGUCGGGCAUGAAAUCUCUCGGCUCAACCGGGAGAGGUUGUCCGAUACUUCCAGACUUGAGGGCAGUAGAGGGUGGUGGAAUUCCGGGUGUAGUGGUGAAAUGCGUAGAUAUCCGGAGGAACACCAGUGGCGAAAGCGGCCACCUGGACUGCACCUGACGCUGACACGCGAAAGCUAGGGGAGCGAACGGG